rnacentral:rRNA from 1 species
UACGGAAGGCAGCAGUAAGGAAUAUUGGUCAAUGGGCGCAAGCCUGAACCAGCCAUGCCGCGUGCAGGAAGACGGCCCUCCGGGUUGUAAACUGCUUUUAUACCGGAAUAAACCUCCCUACGUGUAGGGAGCUGAAUGUACGGUAGGAAUAAGGAUCGGCUAACUCCGUGCCAGCAGCCGCGGUAAUACGGAGGAUCCGAGCGUUAUCCGGAUUUAUUGGGUUUAAAGGGUGCGUAGGCGGCCUGUUAAGUCAGGGGUGAAAGACGGUGGCUCAACCAUCGCAGUGCCCCUUGAUACUGACGGGCUUGAAUUAACUAGAGGCAGGCGGAAUGUGACAAGUAGCGGUGAAAUGCAUAGAUAUGUCACAGAACACCGAUUGCGAAGGCAGCUUGCUAUGGUUAUAUUGACGCUGAGGCACGAAAGCGUGGGGAUCAAACAGGAUUAGAUACC